rnacentral:tRNA from 1 species
AGGUGAUUAGCUCAGUUGGGAGAGCACCUCCCUUACAAGGAGGGGGUCGGCGGUUCAAACCCGUCAUCACCUACCA